rnacentral:sRNA from 1 species
ACUGGGCAAAGUGGUGCAUGCCUGUAAUCCCAACCUCUCAGGAGGCUGAGACAGGAGAAUUGCAAGUUCAAAGCCAGCCUCAGCAAAACUGAAGUGCUAAGCAACUCAAUGAGACCCUGUCUCUA